rnacentral:rRNA from 1 species
GCCUGCGCGGAAGAUGUAACGGGGCUAAACCAUGCACCGAAGCUGCGGCAGCGACGCUUAUGCGUUGUUGGGUAGGGGAGCGUUCUGUAAGCCGUUGAAGGUGGCCUGUGAGGGCUGCUGGAGGUAUCAGAAGUGCGAAUGCUGACAUAAGUAACGAUAAAGCGGGUGAAAAGCCCGCUCGCCGGAAGACCAAGGGUUCCUGUCCAACGUUAAUCGGGGCAGGGUGAGUCGACCCCUAAGGCGAGGCCGAAAGGCGUAGUCGAUGGGAAACAGGUUAAUAUUCCUGUACUUGGUGUUACUGCGAAGGGGGGACGGAGAAGGCUAUGUUAGCCGGGCGACGGUUGUCCCGGUUUAAGCAUGUAGGCGGAGGUUCCAGGUAAAUCCGGUACCUUUUUAACGCUGAGGUGUGAUGACGAGGCACUACGGUGCUGAAGUAACAAAUGCCCUGCUUCCAGGAAAAGCCUCUAAGCAUCAGGUAACACGAAAUCGUACCCCAAACCGACAC